CUUGAGGAUGUACAGGAUAUGACAGCUCCAGAAUCCAUUCCUGGGAGUGUUUCCAUUGUGAAUUUGAGUGUUACUUUACAAGAUGAAGACAGAAAUGAAGUAAGCAAUUUGCCAUCAUCUUCUACGGAUGAAUCUGAGCUACAGUGUAACAACUUUAAAGAUGACACAGGGGAAAAUACAGCAUUACUAGAGAGAGAUGGCAGCGAUUCUCCGCAAGAAGAGCUUGGCUCCUAAUGGACAUUUCCAUUCAGUAGUUUCACAGCAGCUUUUUGGACUGCAUUAGAGAACAUUUUAUUUUUUUAUCUUAUUAGCACACAUUUGUAUAUUGGGAAAAUGAUGUAUGUUCUUUUACCUUUCAGACUUUUCUAGUUCUUAUUGUAAAAGGGCUAAGAUAUUCUGUUCAAAAAAGAAAGGUUUUUAAUUUUAUGUUGACCGACUGAAAAAUGCAUUUUAUGUUUGGAACUAUUUUGUCGUAUCAGACUGUUACAGAAACUGUAACUUAAGAAAGAAUCUGUAAUGUAAAAUAUUGGUGUUAUCACUUCUAACAAAUACCAUAAUAGCUAAAGUAUAAGAGAUAUUAUUUUUCUGAAAGUUGAUUUAAGAAUAAGCACAAUUUAUUUUGAUAUAUAUGUUGAUGGUGGCAUUGUGUAAUUAAAUGCUUUCCCUGGAGGAAACAUUUUAGAGGCUUAGUGAAAAUUGUUCAGAGAUGGGACGUUCAUAACACUAUUGUCUAUGUGUAUCUUGUGUGUAAAUAAUUCAAAACUUAACUAAAAUAGAUUAUUUUCUUUUACUGUU